rnacentral:rRNA from 1 species
AACGCGAAGAACCUUACCUACUCUUGACAUCCAGAGAACUUAGCAGAGAUGCUUUGGUGCCUUCGGGAACCCUGAGACAGGUGCUGCAUGGCUGUCGUCAGCUCGUGUUGUGAAAUGUUGGGUUAAGUCCCGCAACGAGCGCAACCCUUAUCCUUUGUUGCCAGCGGUUCGGCCGGGAACUCAAAGGAGACUGCCAGUGAUAAACUGGAGGAAGGUGGGGAUGACGUCAAGUCAUCAUGGCCCUUACGAGUAGGGCUACACACGUGCUACAAUGGCAUAUACAAAGAGAAGCGAUCUCGCGAGAGCAAGCGGACCUCAUAAAGUAUGUCGUAGUCCGGAUUGGAGUCUGCAACUCGACUCCAUGAAGUCGGAAUCGCUAGUAAUCGUGGAUCAGAAUGCCACGGUGAAUACGUUCCCGGGUCUUGUACACACCG